GAAAUCAUAGUGGAAAGAUCAUUCUAGCUCUUUGGGAUGGAUCUGAGCAGCUUCUUGAUCUAUGUUGCUGUUUCUCUACUCAUUCAAUAUUCCUGCAGUCAAACACUGACUGAAUCUGAAUCAGUGGUAAUCAGACCUGGAGGAUCUCAUAAACUGACCUGUACAGCCUCUGGAUUGGACUUUGAUAGCUCCUGGAUGGCCUGGAUCAGACAGGCUCCUGGAAAAGGGCUGGAAUUUGUUUCAACUAUUGAGCAUGACAGUGAUAGGAAGCGUUACUCCAGUGCGGUUAAUGGCAGGUUCACCACCACCAGAGACAACAGUAAGGAUCAGGUGUAUCUGCACAUGAGCAGUGUGAAGACUGAAGACACGGCUGUGUAUUACUGUGCCCGAGACACACAGUGACACGAGAAGUUGAAGUGCUGUACAAAAACACCACCUGAAACGUCCUUCUAUCUUCUAGUCAGGCAAACACAGACUUGACAGAUGUUAUGAAUCAGAUGUACAUGCUGCAUUUAAAGUCAAUAA